rnacentral:tRNA from 4 species
UGGGGUAUCGCCAAGCGGUAAGGCACUGGGUUUUGAUCCCAGCAUUCGUAAGUUCGAAUCUUGCUACCCCAGCCA